GCUCGGUAUGGAGACACUGGAAAAAGAGGGUCUGAAGAAAGACUAUAAGGAACCAGAUGACAACCAAGAUGGUAUUCGCCGAAGACUGAGGGACAGAGAGCUCCUGAAGAAGAGGAAGGCAGAGGCAGAAGAGAAAGCAACUUACCAGUGGGUUCAUGGAGGGCAGAGCAAAAGGCAAAGAGUUCAGAGUGAGAAGAGCAGCUCUGGCAAAAUAGGGCGGCCGAGGAAAUCGGACCCCAAAGACCAGCUGCCGAAGGCCCAGGAGGAACCCCCUGUGGAGGCCUCCAAUGCAGGGGCGGCGGCCUCUCUGGAAGCCGGCCCUGUGGGAGUGCAGAUGUCCUCCCAAACUGUACCUUUACUCCCAUCACUUGCUCCUGUUCUCACUCAGCCCCAGCCAGAGGAGAUUCUCAUUCCCUCCCUGGCAGACACACUGGGGCUUGAGACCAAGAGCAGCCAACCAGUGGAGGUGGUUCUGAUCGAGGAUCUGGGUCCAGAUGAGAACGAGGACAUACCACCUCUCCCGGAGGACCUGCCUUCUGACCGGGGGACAAUCGAGGAGUUAUCUGACUGCUUCACAGCCAGUAACCAAAUGUUCUCCAUCCCAGCAACCUCCCUACCUUCCUAGGUAGAUAAUCUUUCACGAAGUCUCGUCUGAGAAACCACAGUUGUGAGACCUGCAGAGCGACACCUUCCGAGAGAGAAAUACCGCAGUAUUUGGGCAAAGAGGAAGUGCAGCCUGGGGCUCAUUGAACUCAUGAUGAGCCUUUGUGUCAACAGUGUGUAACAUUUCAUGUAUUACAUUUUAAGCAAUUCUGUUUUUGCAUUAAGUUUAAUUCUUUUAAAGAACAAAAAGCAAAAAAACCUGAGAGUUAUUUAUUUUUGGAUCAUUUACAAGCCUUUUUUCUGGAAGAUUGAAGUUGUGUGCUGGUGACCUGUCCUUCUACGCUCUAAAAAAGGUUUUUAGAUGCUCGCGUAAUUUGCAGAUUUAAAUAUUAUUGCCUUAUCUUUUAUGAAUGCCCA
rnacentral:lncRNA from 1 species